rnacentral:sRNA from 1 species
CACAAAAACAACAAAAAAA